rnacentral:rRNA from 1 species
GACGAACGCUGGCGGCGUGCUUAACACAUGCAAGUCGAGCGGUAAGGCCCUUUCGGGGGUACACGAGCGGCGAACGGGUGAGUAACACGUGGGUGACCUGCCCUCAGCUCUGGGAUAAGCCCGGGAAACUGGGUCUAAUACCGGAUAUGACUCCACGGUGCAUGUCGUGGGGUGGAAAGCCUUGUGCGGCUGAGGAUGGGCCCGCGGCCUAUCAGCUUGUUGGUGGGGUGAUGGCCUACCAAGGCGACGACGGGUAGCCGGCCUGAGAGGGCGACCGGCCACACUGGGACUGAGACACGGCCCAGACUCCUACGGGA